rnacentral:rRNA from 1 species
GACGAACGCUGGCGGCGUGCUUAACACAUGCAAGUCGAACGGAAAGGCCCUGCUUUUGUGGGGUGCUCGAGUGGCGAACGGGUGAGUAACACGUGAGUAACCUGCCCUUGACUUUGGGAUAACUUCAGGAAACUGGGGCUAAUACCGGGUAGGAGCUCCUGCUGCAUGGUGGGGGUUGGAAAGUUUCGGCGGUUGGGGAUGGACUCGCGGCUCAUCAGCUUGUUGGUGGGGUAGUGGCUUACCAAGGCUUUGACGGGUAGCCGGCCUGAGAGGGUGACCGGCCACAUUGGGACUGAGAUACGGCCCAGACUCCUACGGGAGGCAGCAGUGGGGAAUAUUGCACAAUGGGCGGAAGCCUGAUGCAGCAACGCCGCGUGCGGGAUGACGGCCUUCGGGUUGUAAACCGCUUUCGCCUGUGACGAAGCGUGAGUGACGGUAAUGGGUAAAGAAGCACCGGCUAACUACGUG